AGGGAAAGUUGCAAAGAACUUUGAAGAGAGAGUUCAAGAGUACGUGAAACUGUUCAGGGGCAAACGGGUGGGCCCUUGAAGUUCGCGCGGAGGGGGAUUCCGUCCCCGGCCGCCGGGGCGGUUUGCCGUUCGGUUGGAUUUUUGGGCGAGCCCCGACCGCGGCCCGGCCGAGUCCUUGGGCCGGAGAAGCCUUUUCCCCUUCCGGAGGACGCCGCAGCCUUUCGGGGUCCGGCAAUGAGGACCCGUGCGAGCCGGUGGCGUGGAAGUUGGUCUUGAACCGGCGUUCCGUGUUUGGCCCCCGGAUCCGGGCCCGGUUCCCGAGAGAGGGAACCGGCCCCGUUCGCGGGGCUUGCCGUUGCCUUGCCCCCAGGGCGAGCGGGGUCCGAGUACCAGGGACGCCGAGCGUUCCGAGCGUCACCGGGCGGUGGCGCCGGGCUCGCGGUACCCGGUGGGUCUCGGACCGCCGCGGGGCGGGCACGCGGCUUGCGGCGAGUAGGUCGGUAACCCACCCGACCCGUCUUGAAACACGGACCAAGGAGUCUAACAUGUGCGCGAGUCAGUGGGACUCGAACAAGCCCACGGGCGGAACGAAGGUGAGGCGUGUCGGGAUCCCCGGUCCGCGAGGCCGGGGCGCACCGGAGGCCUGGGUGCUCCGCCGAUUCCUGCGGGCGCCCGGUGUCUGAGCGCAUGCGUUGGGACCCGAACAGAUGGUGAACUAUGCCCGGGCAGGUCGAAGCUAGAGGAAACUCUGGUGGAGGACCGCAGCG
rnacentral:rRNA from 1 species